rnacentral:lncRNA from 1 species
GUGCUGCCCUGACUACUGCCCUCUGGCUCCGGCCGUUCGUACUACCCUGACCACCGCCCCUUGCCUUCCGACCGUCUAUGCUGCCCUGGCCACUGCCCCCUUCCUCCCGGUCACUCAUCGGACUACCUUCGGCAAGGGCUAUGAAGGCAAUGUAGGAGGCGGCAAGGGCCAUCGAAGGAGGAGUUGGGGAGGUUGAGGGG